rnacentral:rRNA from 1 species
GACGAACGCUGGCGGCGUGCUUAACACAUGCAAGUCGAACGGAAAGGCCCUGCUUUUGUGGGGUGCUCGAGUGGCGAACGGGUGAGUAACACGUGAGUAACCUGCCCUUGACUUUGGGAUAACUUCAGGAAACUGGGGCUAAUACCGGAUAGGAGCUCCUGCUGCAUGGUGGGGGUUGGAAAGUUUCGGCGGUUGGGGAUGGACUCGCGGCUUAUCAGCUUGUUGGUGGGGUAGUGGCUUACCAAGGCUUUGACGGGUAGCCGGCCUGAGAGGGUGACCGGCCACAUUGGGACUGGGAUACGGCCCAGACUCCUACGGGAGGGAGCAGGGGGGAAUAUUGCACAAUGGGCGGAAGCCUGAUGCAGCAACGCCGCGUGCGGGAUGACGGCCUUCGGGUUGGAAACCGCUUUCGCCUGUGACGAAGCGUGGGUGACGGUAAUGGGUAAAGAAGCACCGGCUAACUACGUG